CCUCUGCAAUGUCAGACGGGACUUCACCUUCACUGUUCACAGCAGCCACGUUGGCUCCAUGACUAAUUAAAUACUCUGCAAUGUUCAGGUAGCCACACGAUGCCACCGCAUGCAGGGGGGUCCAGCCCUCGUUAUCUUGCUGGUUCACGUUGGCUCCGUUUUCUACGAGGAACUUCACCAUGUCCAGGUUCUCAUCUAUGCAGGCCUGGUGCAGCGCCGUCAGCCCGUCCACGUUGGUGGUGUUGAUGCGGGCGCCGCGGCCCAGCAGCCGCUUCACCUCCUCCGUGUCGCCGCUGGAGCAGGCGGCCAGGAAGACGGCGCCGUCGUCGAAGCGGACGCGGGACCCCCCGGCCCCUCGGUGCCGCCCGCGGCCGCCCCCCGCCGCCACCGGCUCCUGCUCGGUCAGGGAGCCCUUCCAGCGCCGCAGCUGCUCGGCCCGCCGCAGCCGCGCCGACUCGGCCCGCUUCCCGCCCAGGUGCUCCGGCUCCGACAUCGCCGCCGCCGCACUGAGGCGCAGGGAGCGGCGCGGCGCCUCAGCCCGGAGCGGGGCGCGGC
rnacentral:lncRNA from 1 species